GAUGAAGAACGUAGUGAAAUGCGAUACGUAAUGUGAAUUGCAGAUUUCAGUGAAUCAUCGAAUCUUUGAACGCACAUUGCGCCCGCUAGUAUUCUGGCGGGCAUGCCUGUUCGAGCGUCAUUUCAACCAUCAAGCGGCUCGCUUGUGUUGGGGCCCUGCGGCUGCCGCAGGCUCCUAAAUCUAGUGGCGGGCUCGUCGUCGUACCGAGUGCAGUAAACAUCCUCGCUCAGGGAAGUCGACGGGUUCUAGCCGUGAAACACCCCCUAUCUUAAGGUUGACCUCGGAUCAGGUAGGAAUACCCGCUGAACUUAAGCAUAUCAAUAAGCGGAGGAU
rnacentral:misc_RNA from 1 species